GAAGUGGGGAUGACGUCAAAUCAUCAUGCCCCUUAUGACCUGGGCUACACACGUGCUACAAUGGGCGGUACAAAGGGCUGCGAACCCGCGAGGGGGAGCGAAUCCCAAAAAGCCGCUCUCAGUUCGGAUUGCAGGCUGCAACUCGCCUGCAUGAAGCCGGAAUCGCUAGUAAUCGCGGAUCAGCAUGCCGCGGUGAAAUUACCGGUUCCCGGGCCUU
rnacentral:rRNA from 1 species